CAGGAAGUAGUUUAAUGAGAAUGCUGGCUUUGGGUGUCAGUGGUGGAGUUUGGUCUUUCUUCCUGA
rnacentral:tRNA from 1 species